rnacentral:rRNA from 1 species
UACGUAGGGUGCAAGCGUUGUCCGGAAUUAUUGGGCGUAAAGAGCUCGUAGGCGGUUUGUCACGUCGGAUGUGAAACCCUGAGGCUCAACCUCAGGCCUGCAUUCGAUACGGGCAGACUAGAAUUCGGCAGGGGAGACUGGAAUUCCUGGUGUAGCGGUGAAAUGCGCAGAUAUCAGGAGGAACACCGGUGGCGAAGGCGGCAUCCUGGACCGGUAUUGACGCUGAGGCGCGAAAGCCAGGGGAGCAAACGGG